CACAUAUAUAAAAAAAAACUCCCAAUCAGGACCGUGUGUUCAAUGUCGUCCACCUGUCCCGCCGCGAUAUUCCUCAUUAUCGCAAUAAACAUACCGUCUUCACAUAGAGCUUUAAGGGGUCUACUUUUGUGAUAACAAAUAUUCCCGCAAAAAAAAAAAACCGCGCGGUCUCGCAAAUACGCACGGACUCGGUCCCCCGUGCGCGCAAACCACACGCCGCCGAAACAAUUAACAGAAGCCAACGGAAUGGACAUUGAAGUAUUUUAAGUGAAACGCAUCGCGAUUUUAAAACCAAACGUGAGCUGUGCUGAAUGUCACGCGGCGGUGCCAAAGAGCAGAGAGAGAAACGCGAAUCCUAAAUGCUAAGCGAGGGGGCGAACUGGGUCCGAUCUCCCGUCAGCCCGACCGCCCGACAAAACAUGUAAAUAGUAAGUGUUCACAAUAACAGGAUCAUCAGCUUUCAGGUCAAACUGACCUGGAUUUACCUCUGAAUGUCGGAUCUCGGUGUGAUUGUGCCAAGUUUCUUCAUCCGUCGCCCGUUCAGCCCGUCAGCCGGUCCCAAAACUGAGCCCAAGAAGGAGGAACGUUGUUAUCCUCUCUCUCUCUCUCUCUCUCUCUCUCUCUCUCUCUCUCUCUCUCUCUCUCUCUCUCUCUCUCUCUCUCUCUCAAUAACGUGCCUUUCAAAAUCUCAAAGUGCGUUUUCUACACCUCUGUCCCUCAGCAGUGAUUCGUAUUGGUACAAUAUCCAUCAUCACCAGUCAUUUUUACCACUGCGUCAACCGACCACCACCAUCAUGAUCAUCAUCAUCAUGAUGACAGCCAAAAAUCAAUACGGUACGGAUACUCAUUUGCAUAAUAUUGAUGAGUUAAGGAGGACGGUUCUGGUAUUUCCUACAAUGUCACACUGUCCAAUAACUCACGCUGUGAAGACGAGUGUCUUCAGUAAGAGUAACAGUACGACCCUUUAAUAAAGACUUUAUAUGUUGUUACUAAUGCCUUAGUAACAAAUAUUAUUAACAUGUUUCAACAACAACUUUUGAUACCAUUUCCAAAUGAGAAGAAGAAGAGGUUUUACGUUAAUAAUCAUGUCAAGUAAAUUAUAUAUAGUAAAUACUUAACAGAUUCAUUAACAUUAAGGGAUUAUUUAUAAUGAACCCUUACAACGAGGGUAUUUUUAUGUUUAAUUAGUGACCUCAUAGUCUUAUAAUAGAGCUACACAAAUAGUGCUUUGGUAGGACAUCUGGAAUGUUUGAUUUUACACUUAUAUAACAUUUAAGAAUUUUGUGUUUCUUUUGCUUGUGUGUGUGCUUUUUUUACCAUAUUAGUGCACAAAUAGGACGUUGGGCCCCCAUUUUGUUUCUACCACAUGCACACACUUUCACACUGUUCAACUGAUUGACAGACAAAAUUGGCAACGUGCCAAGAAACGUAGUGAUGUGCCAAUAAAGCCAUGCGGAGAAGAAGGCGGCGAGAUGAGCAAGGACGAAGACACUGUACCAUUUAAAAUAGAUGUUGUUUCUAGGGGGAAGGAGAGGGAUUUAUGCUUUUGUCAGAAGGUACACAUCAUGUCUUUACUGCAUAAACAUAAAUUAGCAUAGACUCUUCGGGGGAUCUUCAACGUACAUUCCUCUAACAAAAAUGACAUCUCAUUUUUCUUGCAGCCCUGUAACGGCAUUAUACGUAUGGGCCUUUUGUGUGUCAUUACCCAUCUUUCAAAGGUGCCACCACCAUCAUUAUCAACACUAAGCCAUCACCUGAUUACAGGCCAAUGAUAACAUUAUUAUAUUCAUGUUAAUCAGUCCGCCUUCAUCGCCGACGCGGUCCCAUUUCAGAAAGCUAUUAACUUCGUCCUUAUCACUUAAGAGCAAAUUACACCUCGCCAUCUUCAUACACAUGCCCACGCACGCACACAUAUUUCAUUACGUCGAUAUAUCCUCCUCAGUCAUCCCACAUGCUGUAAGUCCCCUAUCUCCGUUCUACAGUGUACUUGUAGAUUGACUCCCCCAAAAACCCUUUGCAGAACAGAUGAAGGAAGGGAAGAGGAAGAUGUAUGUGUGAGUAGUAAAAGAGAGGGACUGCUCCUUCUCUAUUAUAGAAACACAGUAGAACAGGGCCGGCCAGACGACAGAGCAUGAAAGGGCUGAUUUAUCCAGUGGGAAGGGACGUGUGCGCACGUGAGUGUUUGAAGAAAGAGAUGGAAAGAUGGAGGAAGAGAGGAAGGAAUAGGGAGCCGUGUUGGCUUGUCUGUUUUGGUCUUUCUAUUGAUGAAAAGGUAGAGCGUACAUUUUUAAAUUGAAUAUACACAUUUGUGAGUCGGUCUUUGACUGUUUCUGUGGCACGUCUGCUUGGACGUGCUGCACUUUGCCGCCACCCGGGAGAGUCAGUUUUUACAGUCAACUGAAUUGAAUUGAAACAAAUUCAAUUCAGUUGUAUGCUAUCUUGUGUUUGGAGCAAUUUGUGAAUAUUAGCAUGCUAAUAGGUUCAACUACCGCUGUGACAAUAGUAAGCAUUACACCUGCGAUCCAGCAGUACGAUAGCAUUGUCUCCGUGAGCAUGUGACCAUACUGAUGAUUGCAUUCACUCCCAGCACACUCUGAGUCUUGUUGGAAUGACUUUCUGGUGAAGUGAUAGUUCCUCCACCAAUCGGUGAGGGUUUAGGCUGAACAGUAAAUCUGCCACCAUAAAAAAAGAUUUUGCACCAAUCAGUUUGUCAAAGGUUGUCUCAUUUAUAAGCGUAGGUUGCAGGAGUUUGAGGGUCCGUUCAACGGAGGCAAUCUUAUAAUAUGCUGCUCUCGUGUUGAUCAAAAAACACACACUCAGAAUUCAUCAGAAUUCGCUUGCCAAAGCCAUUUACCACAGGGAAGACAAACUGGCGGACGAAAAAGCCGGCAAUGCAUCAGUCAGAAAAUUAUUUUGUUGGACGUUUUAACUCAGAAAAGUUAGGUUGAGAUCACAAUUGCUGUUUCCUGUGUCAGUUUGUCCACCGUUUAAUCCUAAACUACUCUUUAACCCAACAAGGAUUGGAAAACAGCCCAAAAAUCAAAAGUCUGGACACGUUCUCGUUGAAUUAACGAGAAAAUGUGUCCAAACUUUUGACUGGUACUGUAUGUUCAUGAUCAAACCAAUGCAUGUGCACACUUGAUUUAUCUCUCCCUGCUGACUGCUUCCUGGACCUUUAUGUUUUGUGCUUGCCAGUGUCUGUGCGUGUGUGUGUGGUCUGCAUCCCAAUGGCUUGUAUGUUUAUGAAGGCCACCGUCAUGUGUUAGGAAGAGGGGAGGAGGGGGGCGCUCCCUGCAGCAAAUAAGAUCGCUUGAUCCCAAUAUCCGUCCCAGACAUCUAUCAGUAUACAAGAUCCAAAGGGAACCGAGAGGCG
ensembl:lncRNA